rnacentral:tRNA from 3 species
GGACCCGUAGCUCAGCCAGGAUAGAGCGUAGGCCUCCGGAGCCUAAGGUCCCGGGUCCGAAUCCCGGCGGGUCCG